UAAGCUCAUUUGCAUCCUUACACUCAACCAAACUUUUCUCUCUCCUUAGCCACGAAAAUAUUAAGUGAAUCAGUCACUAAUGUGAUCACUAGCAAGCCAGGAAUAGAUCACAAAGAUUAGAUUCAAGAUCAAAGCAUGAAUGAGGUAUAAACCCUAAAUUUUGUAAAUCAUGUGAUUUUAUGUUAGUUGUUGUUUAGAUUGGUAAUAG
rnacentral:lncRNA from 1 species